rnacentral:lncRNA from 1 species
CCCAAUGUAUUAUUAAGAGUCAAAUAUCACUCCUGUAUUUUCACGUUUUCUCACUUAAGUAUUCUAAGUAUACUGUAAUUUUAUUUUAAUUUUUUAUUAGCACCUUUGUUAAUUCUUCCUUAAAUUAUAUAUAAAAAUUUAAAUAUCUCACCGAUGAUUUAUUAUAUAUUUACUUUAAUAUUCUAUAAUUUACUAAAUUUUUAUUUUAGUAUUAUAUGAUUUUAAUUUUAUUAUUAAUUUAAUAAAAAAUUAAUAGUACGAAAGUGAUAUAUUUUAAACAGUACAGUACUAAAAUGAAAAAGUGUAAAACCACAUGGUGAUAUUUGAAGUUGACUCUAUUAUUAUCACGUUGCUACGCGCACAUAUGAAUGGAUUAGAAUUUAGUAUUUAUUUGGUUAGAAAAAUAGUCUUUAGAAUUUAAUAAUAGUAUUUAAGAAUUAAUAUUUAGAGUAUGAUAAUAAUAUUGUCGCGUGGUUAAUAAUAUUUUAUGGGACAUUUGUGGGUACCUAUAGCAGCUUGCUUUUUUUUUAAUUAUUAUUCAACCUCUCCGCUGCUUUUCUGGAUGGGGAUCGGAUUGCGUGUCUGACAUGGGGUCCUGCAAAUGGACGGGUUCUUCCAUGAAAUUACCUUUUUAGCCCUCUUUAUAGAUUUCUUUUUCAUAAUAAUAAUAAUAAUAAUAAUUAUUAUUAUUAUUAUUAUAAUAUAUAGCUUAUAUAUAUAUACUAGAGUUGAGCUAGAAUACUACCGAUAGUAAAUGAGCCGUUUUACUACCAAUUUAUUUUCGAUGAUAGAGCUUCCAAAUUGACGAUCGGCUCCGUUAAAUAUGAUCUAAACCAUUUAAACUACCUAGAAAUUAAAUUUCACGCACUUUCGAUAUUGUUUUUUUAUCCAUCAAGUGAACAAAAAAAUGAAUGGCUGAAAAUAAAUACUUUUUAAAAAAUGAUGAUAGGAGUCUUGUAAUCAAGAUCAAGAGUAUAUAUCUUAUUUUAAAUAGUUUAAAGAAUUUUCUAACAAAAAUUCAAUUGAUUNGUUUUAAAUAGUUUAAAGAAUUUUCUAACAAAAAUUCAAUUGAUUUGGAUAUCUUUAAGCCGUUAAACGAGAAAACACCUCUUAUCGACCAUUAAAAUUACAAAUUUUGAAACCCUUUGAUCAUUAGGCAAGUGAUGUCGAAAAGAUUUGAAAUUUGAUUUAUAAAUACUUCAAGUGGUAUAGAUCAUGUUCAAUGGAGCCGAUCGUCAGUUUGGAAGUUCUAUCAUCGAAAACAAAUCGGUAGUAAAACGGCUCGUUUACUACCGAUAGUAUUCUAGCUCAACUCAUAUACACUACAAUAUUUUUAAUCUUUUGACACAGAUAUGAAAAAAGUUUAGAAUCUAAAAUUUAUGAUUUAGUUAUACAGUGUAGAAUUUAAUUGUGGUCUUUAUUAUUUAGGUACUGUUUGGUUGGGGAAUAAACAUGGAAUAAAGAAGUUUAUCCUCUUUAUUCUACCAAACGAAGUGAAAAAUGACUAUUCCUCUCUUAACGGGUUAUUCUAGAAUAACCCGUUAAGAGAGGAGAACUACUAUUCUUCCCACUCCAUGGAAUAGCAACUCUUGCUUUUUAUUUUCCCCUUUAAAUAAUAGUUUACUUAUUAAACUAUGAUAAUUAGUAUAUUAUAUUCUUAACAAAUCAAAUUCUUAAAAUAAUUUUUUCUAUUAAUUAGUUUCUAAUAAUUAUAAAAUAUUGCUAACUAAUAACUAAUUAACAUAUUU